AUUUUCUGUUUAGUUUUGUACGUAGCAGAACUGUAGGCUGUCGUUCGUGGUUUGGUUGAAGUGUUUCUAUUAAUUGAAUAUGAACACUCACCACGCUGCGCUUUGGUCCCCUACUUCCACAGACGACGGCCGUUACAGGCUUCGCUCAGGAUCUGAUGCACUAAAAUAAGGAUCUCCCUCACUACACCCUCAGGAACUUCUCCUUUUUCUCUUGGAUACCAGAAGAGGACACUAGUCUGCAAUAUGCUACAGCAACAUCUACCAGUGACCGAGCAAGUCUGCUUUAUACUACUGUGACAUUUACCGGUAACCAAGCUGGACCUGGGUGCACCAAGAUCAAGUUUGCAAUGACUGGAGACUACGCCCUCUUAGCAGAAUAAUAGAAUAAGAAAGACUGUCUUGAAGAAAAGUUUUUAGUUUUUCUCAUAGUUAACUUACGUGCCUUUCCUUCAACCUGGUGAUGCACUUACAAAAAAUAAUAAUAAUAUCACCCUGCUUGAUUUACAUAUCUUCUACUCUGUGGACACCAUGUCUUCCUGUAGUCUGUAAACAUCAGUUCCUCUCAGAUUAAUGGUAUUAUCUUACUGGGCUAUAAAUAGAUGUGCAGAGGUUUUAGGAUAAGAUUAAUUUCAACAUGUAUACUUGAUAAAUGUGUAAAUGAACAGCUUUCUUGAUUUAUAAGUCAAUAUGUCAUUUAAAAGUUGUGUGUGUAAAAUGAGAAAACCACAGAGAUAAAAAUAGUUUUUUUAUAUUGAUUCCGUUUCUCUGUAUUGCAGAACAUUCUUAAUAAACCACUUCACUAACUGUUAGAGGAAAGCAAUACAAAAGGACUCUUGAUUUGCAAGCUAACAUGGUGGUUCUGUUUGGAACUCAUUCUUCACCCAUGCAUUUUCACAUUUAUGUGCAAAGCUUUAACUAGAGG
rnacentral:lncRNA from 1 species